GAUGAAGAACGCAGCGAAAUGCGAUAAGUAAUGUGAAUUGCAGAAUUCAGUGAAUCAUCGAAUCUUUGAACGCACAUUGCGCCCGCCAGUAUUCUGGCGGGCAUGCCUGUCUGAGCGUCAUUUCAACCCUCAUGCCCCUAGGGCGUGGUGUUGGGGAUCGGCCAAAGCCCGCGAGGGACGGCCGGCCCCUAAAUCUAGUGGCGGACCCGUCGUGGCCUCCUCUGCGAAGUAGUGAUAUUCCGCAUCGGAGAGCGAUGAGCCCCUGCCGUUAAACCCCCAACUUACCAAGGUUGACCUCAGAUCAGGUAGGAAUACCCGCUGAACUUAAGCAUAUCAAUAAGCGGAGGA
rnacentral:misc_RNA from 1 species